rnacentral:rRNA from 1 species
GUGGGGAAUAUUGGACAAUGGGGGGAACCCUGAUCCAGCCAUGCCGCGUGUGUGAAGAAGGCCUUUUGGUUGUAAAGCACUUUAAGUGGGGAGGAGGCUUACCUGGUUAAUACCUGGGCUAAGUGGACGUUACCCACAGAAUAAGCACCGGCUAACUCUGUGCCAGCAGCCGCGGUAAUACAGAGGGUGCAAGCGUUAAUCGGAUUUACUGGGCGUAAAGCGCGCGUAUGUGGCCAAUUAAGUCAAAUGUGAAAUCCCCGAGCUUAACUUGGGAAUUGCAUUCGAUAGUGGUUGGCUAGAGUAUGGGAGAGGAUGGUAGAAGUCCAGGUGUAGCGGUGAAAUGCGUAGAGAUCUGGAGGAAUACCGAUGGCGAAGGCAGCCAUCUGGCCUAAUACUGACACUGAGGUGCGAAAGCAUGGGGAGCAAACAGGAUUAGAUACCCGAGUAGUCC